ACGCACUCUCCGGUCUGCGGAAGAAUCUCUCUCCAUGGAACUGAUCCCUGGUGUCCAAAAGGUUAGGGGCUGCUGUUAUAAGGAUGCCCUGAGGAAACUGAAAAUCAUCACUUUGUGAGCACUUUUGCCCUUCCCACCACAAGAAGCCAACAAAUAUGUAUUUUGCACAUAAAAUUGUUAAGUGCUGGCUGGAACUGAGGGGGAGAACAGAAGGUCAAGACCCUUCCUGAUUCCAAUUCAGAAAAUGGAUUGGGGAUUUUCUGCAGAUUUCCCACCAUCUCUCUUCCGUCGCAUUUGAGAGGACCAUCAGGAUUCUGCCUGCUCUUGACAGAUUAUGGGGGGAAAAAAUCUGCCAAAUGAAAACUGAAUCCUCCCACAUGCCACAACAGUCAUUAGUAACUGUGAUUUAUGAACAGAAGGAUCAACACCCUUCUUAGAGCCCCACCACAAUUGUGGUAUGCAGAAACCUGACAAAGUAAUUCAUAUUCCAAGGGAAAGAAGAAAAAUGCAACUAUGAAAGGAGUCAUUCAUAGUAAAAAAAAAGAAAAAAGAAAAAAGCAAUGAUGGCAAAUUGCCUUGCUUACUUGAACUUAUAUACGGAGUUACAAUUAUCCUUCCUAUGAUGAUGGUGACUACUCUGGAAUUAUAGAAUUAGGUAUAACCAAUGAAAUAACUCUGAUGUUAACUCAACCUUGAUGACUGUGUGAAAUGCUGCUACUGGAACUUCUUUAUUGUUGACACACCUGUGAUAAUUGCAAAUGCGACAUUUAAAACAAAAUAGUCCUUACUACUAAAAGGAGGAUGGUUCUAAUGAUUACAUAGAGCAAUUAAUGGGCUGAAUCUAGACUUAGUCAUGCUUGCAGCGAACCUACUGAACAUUUGUAAAUCUCAGUUUAUUGUGACUAAUUAUAUGCUAAUAAAUGUAGUCUUUUUGA